UACGUAGGGUGCAAGCGUUGUCCGGAAUUAUUGGGCGUAAAGAGCGUGUAGGCGGCUUUACAGGUCCGUUGUGAAAACUCGAGGCUCAACCUCGAGACGCCGGUGGAAACCGUAAGGCUAGAGUCCGGAAGAGGAGAGUGGAAUUCCUGGUGUAGCGGUGAAAUGCGCAGAUAUCAGGAGGAACACCCGUGGCGAAAGCGGCUCUCUGGGACGGUACUGACGCUGAGACGCGAAAGCGUGGGGAGCAAACAGG
rnacentral:rRNA from 1 species